rnacentral:rRNA from 1 species
AUUGAACGCUGGCGGCAUGCUUUACACAUGCAAGUCGAACGGUAACAGGCCUUCGGGUGCUGACGAGUGGCGAACGGGUGAGUAAUGCAUCGGAACGUACCCAGAGGUGGGGGAUAACGCAGCGAAAGCUGUGCUAAUACCGCAUGUGAUCUGAGGAUGAAAGCGGGGGACCGAGCAGCAAUGUUUGGCCUCGCGCCUUUGGAGCGGCCGAUGUCGGAUUAGCUAGUUGGUGGGGUAAAGGCCUACCAAGGCGACGAUCCGUAGCUGGUCUGAGAGGACGACCAGCCACACUGGGACUGAGACACGGCCCAGACUCCUACGGGAGGCAGCAGUGGGGAAUUUUGGACAAUGGGCGCGAGCCUGAUCCAGCAAUGCCGCGUGCGGGAAGAAGGCCUUCGGGUUGUAAACCGCUUUUGGCAGGAACGAAACGGUGUCCGCUAAUACCGGGCGCUAAUGACGGUACCUGCAGAAUAAGCACCGGCUAGCUACGUG